rnacentral:rRNA from 1 species
UACGAACGCUGGCGGCGUGCUUAACACAUGCAAGUCGAGCGAUGAAGUUCCUUCGGGAACGGAUUAGCGGCGGACGGGUGAGUAACACGUGGGUAACCUGCCUCAUAGAGGGGAAUAGCCUUUCGAAAGGAAGAUUAAUACCGCAUAAGAUUGUAGUAUCGCAUGAUACAGCAAUUAAAGGAGUAAUCCGCUAUGAGAUGGACCCGCGUCGAAUUAGCUAGUUGGUGAGGUAACGGCUCACCAAGGCGACGAUGCGUAGCCGACCUGAGAGGGUGAUCGGCCACAUUGGGAAUGAGACACGGCCCAGACUCCUACGGGAGGCAGCAGUGGGGAAUAUUGCACAAUGGGGGAAACCCUGAUGCAGCAACGCCGCGUGAGUGAUGACGGUCUUCGGAUUGUAAAGCUCUGUCUUCAGGGACGAUAAUGACGGUACCUGAGGAAGAAGCCACGGCUAACUACGUGCCAGCCGCCGCGGUAA